rnacentral:misc_RNA from 1 species
AACGCAUCUUGCGCCCUUUGGUAUUCCGAAGGGCAUGCCCGUUUGAGUGUCAUUGUAUUCUCAAAUCUCUUCGCUUUUGUGAAGUUGAUUUGGAUUUGGAGGUCCUGCGGGUGACUUUGGUCGUCCGCUCCUCUUGAAUGCAUUAGCUGGAACCUUUUGCUAGACCAGCCUCGGUGUGAUAAUUAUCUGCGCCGUGGUUGUAAGGCGACUUUGUUGAGGAUCCGCUUCCAAUCGUCUUCGGACUUAUUCUGACAUCUGACCUCAAAUCGGGUAGGACUACCCGCUGAACUUAA